GAACCUAUUGGUCCUCUCAGCACAAGUCACACAGGAGCUUGCUCCUUUGACGUUAGCGGCGGACGGGUGAUUAACACGUGGGUAACCUACCUAUAAGACUGGGAUAACUUCGGGAAACCGGAGCUAAUACCGGAUAACAUUUGGAACCGCAUGGUUCUAAAGUGAAAGAUGGUUUUGCUAUCACUUAUAGAUGGACCCGCGCCGUAUUAGCUAGUUGGUAAGGUAACGGCUUACCAAGGCGACGAUACGUAGCCGACCUGAGAGGGUGAUCGGCCACACUGGAACUGAGACACGGUCCAGACUCCUACGGGAGGCAGCAGUAGGGAAUCUUCACCCAAUCCGGCCACACCCACCCCCGACGGACCAACCCCGGCGUGAGUGAGGAAGGGCUUCGGAUAGUAAAAUCUCUGUUAUUAGGAAAGAACAAACGUGUAAGUAACCGUGCACGUCGUGACCGGUACAUAAUCCAGAAAGCCACGCCCAACUACCUGCCCAGCAGCCGCGGUAACACGUACGUCGCACACCGCUCUAUCCGGAAUUAUUGGGCGUAAAGCGCGCGUAGGCGGUUUCUUAAAGUCUGAUGUGAAAGCCCACGGAUCAACCGUGGGAGGGUCAUUGGAAAACUGGGAAACUUGAGUGCAGAAGAGGAAAGUGGAAUUUCCAUGUGUAGCGGUGAAAUGCGCAGAGAUAUGGAGGAACACCAGUGGCGAACGCGACUUUCUGGUCUGUAACUGACGCUGAUGUGCGAAAGCGUGGGGAUCAAACAGGAUUAGAUACCCUGGUAGUCCACGCCGUAAACGAUGAGUGCUAAGUGUUAGGGGGUUUCCGCCCCUUAGUGCUGCAGCUAACGCAUUAAGCACUCCGCCUGGGGAGUACGACCGCAAGGUUGAAACUCAAAGGAAUUGACGGGGACCCGCACAAGCGGUGGAGCAUGUGGUUUAAUUCGAAGCAACGCGAAGAACCUUACCAAAUCUUGACAUCCUUUGAAAACUCUAGAGAUAGAGCCUUCCCCUUCGGGGGACAAAGUGACAGGUGGUGCAUGGUUGUCGUCAGCUCGUGUCGUGAGAUGUUGGGUUAAGUCCCGCAACGAGCGCAACCCUUAAGCUUAGUUGCCAUCAUUAAGUUGGGCACUCUAGGUUGACUGCCGGUGACAAACCGGAGGAAGGUGGGGAUGACGUCAAAUCAUCAUGCCCCUUAUGAUUUGGGCUACACACGUGCUACAAUGGACAAUACAAAGGGCAGCUAAACCGCGAGGUCAUGCAAAUCCCAUAAAGUUGUUCUCAGUUCGGAUUGUAGUCUGCAACUCGACUACAUGAAGCUGGAACAGAGUAGUAAUACAGUGAGGUU
rnacentral:rRNA from 1 species